AAGAGUCCAGGCAAAAAAGGGCAUCCCGGCGGACCAAAAAAAAAAAGAAAAAGGUUCGGGCAAAAGUUAGGGAUAAAGAAUAAAAAGAAUAUGUACACCCGGUAAGUCGAAAACCUGCAAGGGCGGCUUAGGCAAAAAUGGGUAUCCCGGUGGAUUGAAAACCCGAAAGGGCAAUCCAGGCAAAAGAGGGAUUAAAGCGAAGGCUACAGUCUGAG
rnacentral:lncRNA from 1 species